AAAAUUUUAGUUUAAAUUAAAAUAUUUCAUUUACAUUGAAGAGAUUUUAUAAAGUAAAAAAUUUUA
rnacentral:tRNA from 1 species